CGUAGGGUGCAAGCGUUAAUCGGAAUUACUGGGCGUAAAGCGUGCGCAGGCGGUUUUUCAAGACGGGUGUGAAAUCCCCGGGCUUAACCUGGGAAUGGCAUUUGUGACUGGAAGGCUAGAGUGUGUCAGAGGGGGGUAGAAUUCCACGUGUAGCAGUGAAAUGCGUAGAGAUGUGGAGGAAUACCGAUGGCGAAGGCAGCCCCCUGGGAUAACACUGACGCUCAUGCACGAAAGCGUGGGGAGCAAACAGG
rnacentral:rRNA from 1 species